CCUACGGGUGGCAGCAGUGAGGAAUAUUGGUCAAUGGACGAGAGUCUGAACCAGCCAAGUAGCGUGAAGGAUGACUGCCCUAUGGGUUGUAAACUUCUUUUAUAUGGGAAUAAAAUGUUCCACGUGUGGGAUUUUGUAUGUACCCUAUGAAUAAGGAUCGGCUAACUCCGUGCCAGCAGCCGCGGUAAUACGGAGGAUCCGAGCGUUAUCCGGAUUUAUUGGGUUUAAAGGGAGCGUAGGUGGAUUGUUAAGUCAGUUGUGAAAGUUUGCGGCUCAACCGUAAAAUUGCAGUUGAAACUGGCAGUCUUGAGUACAGUAGAGGUGGGCGGAAUUCGUGGUGUGGCGGUGAAAUGCUUAGAUAUCACGAAGAACUCCGAUUGCGAAGGCAGUUCACUGGACUGCAACUGACACUGAGGCUCGAAAGUGUGGGUAUCAAACAGGAUUAGAUACCCGUGUAGUC
rnacentral:rRNA from 1 species